rnacentral:rRNA from 1 species
CGAACGCUGGCGGCGCGCUUAACACAUGCAAGUCGAGCGAGAACCUGGGCUUCGGCCCGGGGGACAGCGGCGAACGGGUGAGUAACACGUGGGUAAUCUGCCCUUGACAUCGGGAUAGCCCGGGGAAACCCGGAUUAAUACCGAAUAGCCUCCGGAGCCUUCGGGCGCCGGAGAAAAGGUAGCUUCGGCCUCUGGUCGAGGAUGAGCCCGCGGCGGAUUAGCUUGUUGGCGGGGUAACGGCCCACCAAGGCGACGAUCCGUAGCUGGUCUGAGAGGACGAUCAGCCACACUGGGACUGAGACACGGCCCAGACUCCUACGGGAGGCAGCAGUGGGGAAUCUUGCGCUAAUGCGGGAAACCGUGACGCAGCGACGCCGCGUGGGGGAAGAAGGCCUUCGGUUGUAAACCUCUUUCAGGAGGACGAAGCUACUCGGGUUAAUAGCCCAGAGGUGACGGUACGUCCAGAAGAAGCCCGGCUAACUACGCGCCAGCAGCCGCGGUAAUCU